rnacentral:lncRNA from 1 species
AUCUAUGAAGCGGUUCCAUUCCCUUUAUUUUUGCAACUGCUACCAUCAUAAAAAGAAAAUUUGUGUAGCCAUUCCUGAUUCCACAAUCCACAACACACUAAGUUUGUUUUUGCGAAGUUUAGCCACAAUAAAAAAGUUUGUUUUCGGAAGUCGGUUGCUGAAAAUUGGGAAAGAUGAACAGCAAGAACAAUUAAACAAUUGUGAGAGUAAGAGAGGGAUUGGGAGAUAGUGACUUGAAUUUGAAAGAGGUGAUUUCAGAUACUACAUAUUACAG